rnacentral:misc_RNA from 1 species
GAAAUGCGAUAAGUAAUGUGAAUUGCAGAAUUCAGUGAAUCAUCGAAUCUUUGAACGCACAUUGCGCCCUUUGGUAUUCCGAAGGGCAUGCCUGUUCGAGCGUCAUUACAACCCUCAAGCUCUGCUUGGUAUUGGGCACCGUCCUUUGCGGGCGCGCCUCAAAGACCUCGGCGGUGGCGUCUUGCCUCAAGCGUAGUAGAACAUACAUCUCGCUUCGGAGCGCAGGGCGUCGCCCGCCGGACGAACCUUCUGAACUUUUCUCAAGGUUGA